rnacentral:rRNA from 1 species
CAGCAGUCGCCGCGGGAAUACAGAGGGUGCAAGCGUUAAUCGGAAUUACUGGGCGUAAAGCGCGCGUAGGUGGUUUGUUAAGUUGGAUGUGAAAUCCCCGGGCUCAACCUGGGAACUGCAUCCAAAACUGGCAAGCUAGAGUAUGGUAGAGGGUGGUGGAAUUUCCUGUGUAGCGGUGAAAUGCGUAGAUAUAGGAAGGAACACCAGUGGCGAAGGCGACCACCUGGACUGAUACUGACACUGAGGUGCGAAAGCGUGGGGAGCAAACAGGAUUAAAUACCCCAGUAGUCCCUGUCUCUUAUAC